GAUGAACGCUGGCGGCGUGCCUAAUACAUGCAAGUCGAGCGAACGGACGAUAAGCUUUCUCUUCUGCUGUUAGCGGCUGACGGGUGAGUAACACGUGCAUAACCUACUUAUUAGUCUGGGAUAAUUUCGUGAAACCGGUGCCAAUACUGGAUAAUAUUUUGUACCGCAUGGUUCAAAAGUUAAAGACGGCUUUGCUGUCACUUAUAGAUGGUUUCGGGCUGGAUUAGCUAGUUGGUAAGGUAACGGCCUACCAAGGCAACGAUGCAUAGCCGAUCUGAGAGGGUGAUCAGCCACACUGGAACUGAGACACGGUCCAGACUCCUACGGGAGGCAGCAGUAGGGAAUAUUGGGCAAUGGGCGAAAGCCUGACGGAGCAAUGCCGCGUGAGUGAAGAAGGUCUUCGGAUCGUAAAGCUCUGUUAUUAGGGAAGAAAAGAAGUGGAAGAAAAUGUGGACGUCUUGACGGUACCUAAAGAGAAAGCAACGGCUAACUACGUG
rnacentral:rRNA from 1 species